AGCAGCCGCGGUAAUUCCAGCUCCAAUAGCGUAUAUUAAAGUUGUUGCAGUUAAAAAGCUCGUAGUUGAAUUUCGGGGUCAGUAGAUUGGUCGUGCCACUGGUAUGCACUGGUCUUACUGGCUCCUCCUUCCUGAUGAACCGUAAUGCCAUUAAUUUGGUGUUGCGGGGAGACUGGACUGUUACUUUGAAAAAUUAGAGUGUUUAAAGCAGGCUAACGCUUGAAUACAUUAGCAUGGAAUAAUGAAAUAGGACGUUCGAUCUUAUUUUGUUGGUUUCUAAGAUUGACGUAAUGAUUAAUAGGGAUAGUUGGGGGCAUUAGUAUUCAAUUGUCAGAGGUGAAAUUCUUGGAUUUAUUGAAGACUAACUACUGCGAAAGCAUUUGCCAAGGAUGUUUUCAUUAAUCAAGAACGAAAGC
rnacentral:rRNA from 1 species